rnacentral:rRNA from 1 species
UACGAAGGGGGCUAGCGUUGCUCGGAAUUACUGGGCGUAAAGCGCACGUAGGCGGCUUCUUAAGUCGGUGGUGAAAUCCUGGAGCUCAACUCCAGAACUGCCUUCGAUACUGGGAAGCUCGAGUCCGGGAGAGGUGAGUGGAACUGCGAGUGUAGAGGUGAAAUUCGUAGAUAUUCGCAAGAACACCGGUGGCGAAGGCGGUUAGCUGGGCAGUUGCUGACACUGAGGCGCGACAGCGUGGGGAGCAAACAGG